CAGAUAGAAGGAAGGAUUUGAUGUAACUUGAAACCCUAACACAGUCACUACCCAACAGAGGGUCACUCUGCUACAAUACAGAAAGCAAAGAAUAUAAAAGCACUUUAAUGGAAACCUUUCCUGCAGCUGGAGAACAUCAUUCUGUUUAAGGACUUCUUGGUAAACAGGCAUUUUCCUAAACAUAAACAUUUGGUUUUUAAAUGAAUAUUUACUCUGUUUCACUCUACAUUUAUUUGUAAAGAGGAAAUGUCUAUAUAAAUAUAUGAUUAAGAUCUAAAGAGCAUAUUACCAAAGAUGGAUUGUAGCUUAUUUCUGUUCGCUGUAGGAAAAAAACAUUCUGAAUUUGGGAUGGUCAAAGCAAACACAAUAUUUCAAGCUUCUUUUAGUACAUUUGAAGUGGGAGAGUGUAUUUUUGCAUAUUCAGAGCUUUAAGUGCUUCUACCUUUUUAUAGUGCACAGGGCAUGCACAUAAUCACAGAGCACCAGUUGGAAUCAUUUGCAAAGCUGUAGAACUCAUGCUUUCUCAUAGUUGGCAUGGUAGAUGGCAUGCAGAGCAGGAAAAAAGAGUGGUCCUUACUUUAAAUAUUUGAUGGUAAGAUGAUGUUUCAGCUAAGGAAAUGCCAAAGAUUUUGCUCACUUCUGGCUUCGGUGCAAUGAAGAGUGUUGUUAUCAAAGAAUAGUUAUGAGCUGACCAUCAAACUGAAUCACAUAAUCUGAGAGGAUAAGCUACGAGAACUAAAUCAGGCUGGUCUAAAAGCGUGAAGAACUUGUGUGGCUCUGUAUGACUCCAGUCUGAUUCUUCUUGCUGAGAAAUUUCCAUUACCCCCUUGAAGGAAUUUAGCAAUGCUAUGCAAUACCACAUGUAGAGCUUUUCAGAAGUUGUUUUCAAAUUCAAAUGGAACAAACAGUUCAAUUAAGAUUAAAAUACCUAGGAAGAGUGGAGUUUUCCAGAAAUCAAAAUGCUUAACAUAUAUUGUUUUAUAGAGGUCUGUAGCCUGCUGAAGAAAUAACUCAGAACAUGCUCUUCUUACUUUAUUGCUCUGUAUUUUGCAAAAUAAGUGGAAUUAAGGAGGAACUUGGAACAGCAUUUUUGCCUUGAUCCAAUUUUUGCAUAAUACACAUUUAACAACUUUCACUUGAAUCACCCUUUUAUGUUAAUCAUUCAGAGUUUUUACAGGAACAUUGGUUUUACAGGAACAUCACUGUUGAAUUCCAUGGAUAUUUUAUUUGUAUCUGUUAAAUUGCUAUCGCACUUGUAUAGUAAUUGAUGGAAUAAUAUCUGAAAAAAAAUGUAUUUGUUCAGUGUUCCA
ensembl:lncRNA